rnacentral:rRNA from 1 species
CAGUAGCCGCGGGAAUACGUAGGGUGCGAGCGUUAAUCGGAAUUACUGGGCGUAAGGCGUGCGCAGGCGGUUUUGUAAGACAGGCGUGAAAUCCCCGGGCUCAACCUGGGAAUGGCGCUUGUGACUGCAAAGCUAGAGUGCGGCAGAGGGGGAUGGAAUUCCGCGUGUAGCAGUGAAAUGCGUAGAUAUGCGGAGGAACACCGAUGGCGAAGGCAAUCCCCUGGGCCUGCACUGACGCUCAUGCACGAAAGCGUGGGGAGCAAACAGGAUUAGAUACCCCAGUAGUCCCUGUCUCUUAUAC